AUUUAGGAUUUAAAAUUGAAGAUCAGUUUUGGUGGUUUGUGAAUCAGUUGGCUCUGGACGUCGAUAGGCCCUAUGUAUAGGUGUUAACCAGGAGGCCAGUGAGAAAGUGAUCGAUAUAUUUCAGAACCCUCUCUCUCUCUCUCUCAGUCCCUCUUUUCAGUUUUCGAUCAGUUUCAUAGCUUCCGCAGUUUACACAUUGAAGGGGUAGCUCUGAAACACCAGCUGAAGCCUGGACGUGUGGUUUUUGAAACUACUAUUCUAUUUCAUGUAAAACAAUUGACUCCUCUUAUGUCCACCCAUCGAUCUUCUUCUCUUUUGAGUUGGGAGUUAUGACCACUUCUGUCAUCACCAUGCUUCUAAGGCGAGUGAUGCUUGGUUCAAUGGCGAGUGUUGUGACGGCGUUAGUUGCUCGACCGGCGGCUACAAUCACGACCUUGCUCUACUACAGCGAUGUCCUCCCUCGGAAUUUCGACUCACGGCGAUUGGAGCGACUGGUUCGGCGUGAUUACCUUGUUCGAGACAAUUACUUCUUCUAUUUUCUUGUCAACUUUUUGAGAUGCUUUUGGUAGCAAGGAACUAACUUGUAUGUAAAUUUGGGUCGUUGACCAGAAUUGAUCAUGUAAUUAGGGGUUCGAUCGAUCUGUUUAUAAAAGAAGGUCUUUUCUC